CUCCAGGAGAAGUCUUCUCAAAGAAAUAUCCAUGAAAUCCAUGGGCAUUGUGAAGCCAUCUUUCUCCAUUACCCAAACAUUCAGCAUCUACUGUUCCUUGGCAGAUUUCACAAAGGGCUGCACACCAGGAGACGAAAAGAAGAGUGGGGACCAUGCUUCCUGGAACUACCUCUACUGUGUGCCAGGGUGAUCCCACAUGAAUGCUCUUACUGCUGGAACCUCUACUAUCGAGUCACAAUAUCAGAAGGACCCAAAUAUUCAUUAUUUCUUCAUAGGAACCAGGUGGUGACAAGGAAAGAGAAAUUGGGCUUGAGAACAUCACUGGUAAACUGGCUACAUAAAUGGAAAACAGUCCUCCCAGGCUUCAAGGGGAGUUCUCUUCAAUCAGCACUGUGGGAUUCAGAAAAGAGCUUUGUACUUUCUUAAUGGAAACCAUCGGUGACAUUAGCAACUUCAAUCAUGUGUUUCCUCUGCCUCCCUCUUUCUAGAUGGAAGAGUCCAAGCCUUCCAACCUAUCUUCAGAGGGUAGAUCCCCAGCCUCCUGAGCAUCUCACUUCUGUUCUCUAGACAACUACACUGAAU
rnacentral:lncRNA from 13 species